AGGAACGUUAGAGAUUAUGACGUAGAUAGGCUACAGGUGGAAGUGCAGUAAUGUAUGCAGCCGAGUAGUACUAAUGAACCGAGAGCUCUUAAAUUU
rnacentral:rRNA from 1 species